rnacentral:rRNA from 1 species
GACGAACGCCGGCGGCGUGCUUAACACAUGCAAGUCGAACGGAAAGGCCCUGCUUUUGUGGGGUGCUCGAGUGGCGAACGGGUGAGUAACACGUGAGUAACCUGCCCUUGACUUUGGGAUAACUUCAGGAAACUGGGGCUAAUACCGGAUAGGAGCUCCUGCUGCAUGGUGGGGGUUGGAAAGUUUCGGCGGUUGGGGAUGGACUCGCGGCUUAUCAGCUUGUUGGUGGGGUAGUGGCUUACCAAGGCUUUGACGGGUAGCCGGCCUGAGAGGGUGACCGGCGACAGUGGGCCUGAGAUACGGCCCAGACUCCUACGGGAGGCAGCAGUGGGGAAUAUUGCACAAUGGGCGGAAGCCUGAUGCAGCAACGCCGCGUGCGGGAUGACGGCCUUCGGGUUGUAAACCGCUUUCGCCUGUGACGAAGCGUGAGUGACGGUAAUGGGUAAAGAAGCACCGGCUAACUACGUG